GCCUCGGUAGCGCAGUAGGCAGCGCGUCAGUCUCAUAAUCUGAAGGUCGUGAAUUCGAUCCUCACCCGGGGCA
rnacentral:tRNA from 1 species